UCUCCGUAGGUGAACCUGCGGAGGGAUCAUUACCGAGUUGGCGCGCUCCGGCGCGCGAUCUCCCAACCCUUUGUUUUAAAACCCUCUCUCUGCCUCGGGGGUGACCCUGUCCUCUGCGAGGGCCGGGGCCCCCGGUGGACACAACCCAAACUCGAGCAUUCCGUGCGUCUGAGUGGAAGAUCAAUCAAUCAAAACUAUUAACAACGGAUCUCUUGGUUCCAGCAUCGAUGAAGAACGCAGC
rnacentral:misc_RNA from 1 species